UUGAUUCCAUCGUAUCCACACCGAGAACAACCCCAUGUUGGCCUGGCCGCCAAAGGUUCACCCUUUGGCGGUCACCUGCAGCCCGGCUGGCUUGCCAGCCCGACUGUGGGGGCCGGGUUCACACCUGGCCGGCUGUUUCUCCCAUUCAAACCACUAUUUGAAGGCAAUUGCUUGCUCACACGAGCGGCGACUAACA
rnacentral:misc_RNA from 1 species